UACGUAGGCAGCAAGCGUUGUUCGGAGUUACUGGGCGUAAAGGGUGUGUAGGCGGUUGUUUAAGUUUGGUGUGAAAUCUCCCGGCUUAACUGGGAGGGUGCGCCGAAUACUGAAUGACUAGAGUGCGGGAGAGGUGAGUGGAAUUCCUCGUGUAGCAGUGAAAUGCGUAGAUAUGUGGAGGAACACCGAUGGCGAAGGCAGCCCCCUGGGUCAAGACUGACGCUCAUGCACGAAAGCGUGGGGAGCAAACAGG
rnacentral:rRNA from 1 species